ACACAGGGGAGCGAGAAGAGAGGGAGGAAGAGGCUGCCCAUCAACAUUGCCACCAUGGCAGCCUCCUGCCCCUGAGAAAGUGGAAAUGCCCAGGAUCCUGUGCCCAUUUGGCAAAGGAAUAGGUCUCAGAAGAAGCAUGUGGUCUCAUGGAGAUUACAGAGCUCAACUGGAUCUGCAGAAAGGGCUCUGGGCCGGCUGGUAAAAUGAAAAG
rnacentral:lncRNA from 1 species